rnacentral:lncRNA from 1 species
UGACACAUGAUGUGGGAGCUUUACCUUUGAUUCUGAGACAUGAAGAUUUCCUCUUAUGCCUACCCCAGAGCCAGUUCUGAGGGGAGGAAACAGGAUGCAAAGUAAUCAGUAUUUCUCAAUGAAUUUUCAAAAACAUCUCCUACUGUUGUGACCCAGUCCUCUGUGGUGGUUUUCUGAUGGACCAUGACUUGCUCUUGGAUUCUGCUGACUGGGUGAGGUAAAGAGAGGCAAAGAUAAGCAUCAUUCAGCUGUCACCCUUCUGCCCUUGGGGAGUUCUUUCGCUGAAGCUGUCUGGAGCAUAUGUAAAGGUUGAAUACGUGCAAUCUUGAGUAAUACCUAUGUAAGGAACAACGUUGGAUUCACGUACCUGAUUGUAGAGCAAUGGUAACUUGUUUCACUGAUAGCUCUGGGAAAGGACAUAAUGAAUGCCCUUGGUUGGCUUUCUCCUCUUCAUUUUGUGCUCACAAAGACUGAAGUAUUUCAGCAUACUGAUGGACAAUGGACUGCCAGUGCAGACAGACAUCCAAAUUCAUCUUGGAAGAGUCAAGUUCUUAACUGUAGCAAAAAUAGCAAUUAUUUAUGGAGCAGCAUUAUAAUAGGCAUUAUGAAUUUGCAGAAGUCUUCACUGCACACAAAAUAUCAUUUUACUUGUACUAGAAAUUUCAUUUUUUUACAUUUUCUAGGUAGUUUGUUGUCUUCUUCAAACAGAGGCUGGUUUUCCUAGACAGGAGAAGGUAUUUUGCUGUG